rnacentral:tRNA from 1 species
UAGCCUUCGUAGUUCAAUGGUAGAACAACUGGCUGUUAACCAGUUGAUGUUAGGUUCGAUUCCUACCGAAGGCG